rnacentral:lncRNA from 1 species
CGAUCAAUGUGCAUAGAUAACCUUUGAAGUGCAGUAUAUCGUUGAAGGACCCUUUCAUUGUAACGUCCAUCCCUUUCUAAUGGAUCGUGUUGCACGGGUUCUUCGGUGGCAUCAUGCGCACAAUAUAUCCGUGUUCUUGAAUUGUUCAUCGUGUCUGCCUCUGGCUCAUAUUCAUCAACCGCAUCAUAAUCGAACUCAUCUUCCACAAUCAUGUUGUGAAGAAUGACGCAC